ACCCGAUCCUUAUACUUUCCUUUCUCCCUCUCUCUCUCUCGCAUGCUCUCUGCUAGGCCCGAACGACGAUGGCAGGGGCUCGGGGAAUGAUGGUCGACGGUGGCAGGGGGUUGGGGUCGGGCUGUUCGGCGGCAGGGGGCUGGGCCUGGGCUCGACAGCAACGAUUGGUGGGUCGGGGCUGGGCUCGACAGCAACGACUAGUGGCUCGGGGGCUGGGCUCGAUGGCGGGUGGGGGGGUCUCGAGUCUAGGCUCGACGGCGCAAGGGCUGGGCAGGAUGUGGAGGCUUGGGGGCUUGUUGGGGCUGGACGACGUGGAGGCUUGGUGGCUCGUUGGGGCUGGAUGACUCAGAGACUCGAUAGAAAAAAUUGAGAGUGGCUGCCAUAUGUUUGAUAAAAGUCUUCAAUGAGACAAAAGAGUUUGGCUUAAGCUACCAGUUGAACGAUCUGAGUUUGUUCCAAUUGCUGUGAAGGAGGGGUUCGGAUACCACCAUGCUGAACGAGGAUACAUUAUGUUGACUUACUGGAUUCCUGAGGGCCCUUCUAUGCUUCCUAGUAAUGCUUCACACCAAGUUGGGGUCGGGGGAUUUGUCAUCAAUGACAAAAAUGAGUCAUCCAUGUUAAAGUCCUUUGUCUCAUUAUCUAAAACCUGGUGGAAUUGGAGUUAAGGGAGAAGAGAGCUGGGAAGCCUGGUGGGAUGAGGAACUGCUACAAGACAAUUCGAAAUCUUCUUCAGGAGAAGUGGAAGUGAAGUUUCAACUCACUAAAGAUACACUUGAUGCUAUGUUGAGGUCAAUGACUUACAUUAAUGAUCAUCUCUCUGGAAUGGUGUAUAUUGAGAUGCAUUUCUUUGGCACAAUACUAGACAACAUUGAUAGCUGAAGUUUUUAGAAUAAAAAUAUAUUUCACUAAUAUUGUAUACAUUUCUUGUUUAAUAUUUGGUGAUGAUAGAAUUUGAUUGUAGUAUAAACUAUCAUGUAAUAUGAUUUUCUAAGCCAAGUAGACUAAAAUUGAAAUUAUAUUUUUGAGUAAUUAAUAAAAAAUAAUUUUGUUGUA